AGCAGCCGCGGUAAUUCCAGCUCCAAUAGCGUAUAUUAAAGUUGUUGCAGUUAAAAAGCUCGUAGUUGGAUUUCAGGGCUUAGAGUGUGGUCCGCCGCAAGGCGAGCACCGCAUCCUCUAGGACCACCUUCCCGAGGACCCGUGUGCCCUUAACUGGGUGUGCGUGGGAGUCGGGGACUUUACUUUGAAAAAAU
rnacentral:rRNA from 1 species